UUGGUUGUUCAUAAACCCUUGGUGCGACCACAACGCUAAAAUAGAAGAGAGGUCUGUACUUUGAUCUUGCAACUUCGAUGCCCAAAUUUACCUCAGUGCUUUGAUCGUAUGUUCUGUUUUACUUCAGUAUAUAUUUACAAAUAUUGUCCCCGUCAAGGUUAAUGGGUCUUACCUUCUCAAUCUGCUCGACGAUAGCUCGGGCAGGAAGAAGAGGAAGAUUAAUGGGUAUUACCCUCUCAAUCUGCUCGGCGAGGUCGCCGCCGUUAUUGUCCCCGUCAACCUCCACGGCUUGCUCGAUUCGAUUGGCCCCGCCGGUAUUAUCCCCGAAGUCUCCUGCUCCCCCGAGGAUGAGUCGAAAUCGAAGAACAGGGAGUCAGCCGCCACAGCGAAGACGGAGGUUUAGCUGUCGCCACUGGUGAGGACGUCGCGGGGCCGAGUUCAGGUACUUCCUUCCCGGUUUAAUGACUCGGUUAUUGAGAAUUGGAAGAAAGAAAGUAAGACACAUGUAAGAGAUUGUAGUUUGGAUGAGGAGAUUGAAUGUAAAAAAGACAAGAUGGUUUAGUGGGGACAGUGAAGGCUGCGAAGGAGAAUGGGGAGAGGAAAGAUGGGUGGGGGUGAAGAGGAGAAAGGGCUCGGGGAAGGUGGGGGUGGGGUGGGAUGGGUUGUAUUUUUGGAUGAGAGGGAAGGUGAAGAGAGUGGAGGAGAG